rnacentral:rRNA from 1 species
AGGACGAACGCUGGCGGCGUGCUUAACACAUGCAAGUCGAGCGACGCUCUCCCUUCGGGGGGAUGACGGAGCGGCGAACGGGUGAGUAACACGUGGGCAACCUGCCCCUAGCUCUGGGACAACACCGGGAAACCGGUGCUAAUACCGGAUACGACAUCGAGCGGCAUCUCUCGAUGUGGAAAGUUUUUUCGGCUAGGGAUGGGCCCGCGGCCUAUCAGCUUGUUGGUGGGGUAAUGGCCCACCAAGGCGACGACGGGUAGCCGGCCUGGAGACGGGCACCGGGCCACGACUGGGACUGAGACACGGCCCAGACUCCUACGGGAGGCAGCAGUGGGAAUAUUGCGCAAUGGGACAAAGCCUGGACGCAGCGACGCCGCGUGAGGGAUGACGGUCCUUCGGGUUAGUAAACCUCUUUCAGUCAGGUACGAAUUCGACGACGGUACCUGCAAGAAGUAACGCGACCGACCAACUACG